AGGCAGAAGGCUGUGAUGGGGAAAGGAGCACAUGGACAGGCAUUAAGCUGACAACUGUCAAGAACUGUCCCCUGCCAUUUCACCUGAGCUGACCUGAUCUCCCCAGGGGAAUGAGCCUCGUCUUGCAAGUCCCCUUCUUUGGGUCCCUGGCAGCGCUGCUGCAGGAUACAAGGAACAGGAUGCUAUGACGAGAUAUGCAUUGAGAAGCUUCAGUCCUGCCUCCAUCCUUAUCUUCUUCUCCCUGGACCAAAAGUGAUAAUUGUCAUUUGAUCCUUAUUUAUUUUUAGAAAUAAAACUCUUAUGCAGAUACCAACACAUACAAAUCUGUAUUCUUAUACCCUCUAUUUCUUACACACAAGGUAGCAUAUUAUAUUCACUGCUUGACAUGUUACUAUAUUUAUUUGUACUUUAUUGAGCUAUAACAUAUACAGUAAAAUAUACAAAACAUAAUGCAUAGGCCAGUGAAUUUUUUCCUUUUUUUAAAUUUAUUUUUCUUGUAUGACUAUUAAAAACAGCUUUAUUGAGGUCCAAUUGAUAUAUAAUAGUAAACUGGAAUAUAUACACACCCAUGAACCAUCACCAUAAUUGAAAUAAUGAAAAUAAUCAUCACCUUCAAAAGUUUCCUCUUAGGCCAGGUGUGAUGGCUUAUGCUUGUAAUCCCAGCACUUUGAGAGUCUGAGGUGGGAGGAUCACUUGAGCCCAUGAGUUCAAGACCAGCCUGGACAACAUGGCAAAACUCCAUCUCCACAAAAAAAUACAAAAAUUAGGUGGUGUAUGUCUGUAGUCCCAGCUACUCAAGAGGCUGAGGCAGGGGGAUCUCCUGAGCCCAGGAUGUUGAGACUGCAGUGAGCCCUGAUCAUGCCCCUGCACUCCAGCCUGGGCGACAGAGUGAGAUCCUGUCUAUAAAUAAAGUUUCCUCUGGCCUCUAUAUUUUCUUAUUAGCUUGUAAAGGUGAGCAGAUUGAUGAGUUGGGUUGAAGAUAUCUAACAUUAAGCUGAUCACAACCUCAUGGUUCCUUCCUAGAGGCUCCUUUAGUUUCUUUCUUUUCUUUUCUUCUCUUCUCUUUUUUUUUUUUCCGAGACAGGGUCUCACUCUGUUGCCCAUGCUAGAGUGCAGUGGUAUGAUCAUAGCUCUCUGCAGUCUUAAAUUCCUGGUCUUAAGCAAUGCUCCUACUUCAGCCUCCCAAGUAGCUGGGACUACAGGGGUGUGCCACCAUGUCCGGCUAUUUUUUGUAGAGACAGAGUUUCACCAUGUUUCCCAGGCUGUUCUCCUAGUGUCAAGAGAUCUGCUCGCCUCAGCCUCCCAAAGUGCUGGGAUUACAGACAUGAGCCACCGUGACCAGCUGAGUCUGCUUUUGUUUCUUAAGAAUCCAGGAACUAGGUAAUAAAUGUAUGUCUUUGCUACUCCUAAGUCUUAUUAAUCACUUACAUUUCUGACAAUUAAUCAUUGGACCUCAAGGGACUUUGAUAAGAUUAAUUUGAAGUUCUCAGCAGUAGAAAGUUUAUUUUGUCAGUCUGCAAAGCUUCUGGUGUCAGAGGUUCUGGUUCAGGGCUGUUUGACUCAAAGAACCAAGGGACUCUUGGAAAAAGAAACAAGACUUACAUGGAAUUUCAGGAUCUCCAUUGUUUAUAAGCCAUAAUUCUGGGAAGAAGGAAAUGAACUCUAAUUAAGCACCUCUAUGGGUCAGAUACUUUAUAUAAAACAAAGAAUUUAAUCCUCAACAAUAACCUGCCACAGAGAUGAGAUUAUCACCAUUUUUACAGAAGAGGAAAUAGGAUCUGAGAGCCUAAGCAACUUGCCCAAGGUGACUCAGUAAGUGGCAUGAGCUGGAGUUGAAACCCAGAGCUAUAUUGCUAUAGAGCCCAUCCUUUCUAUUUCAUGGCCCUACUCUCUGUCCCCUGCCCCUAGAUAAUAUUAACAAUUGAUAGACAGAUAAGUAGAUAGAUAGAUAAAUAGAUACAGAUACACACACAUAUAUCUGUAUAUCAGGAUGUGCUAUAUAUUACAUUUUAUUUAUUUCCAAAGGCCUUAGGAAAAAAACAAUAGCAGUGUAGAACAUGAAGGCAAAUGGUUACAAAAUACAUGGAUACGUGUAUUUUACUGCUGAUAUAAAUUUAUGUCUAUUGAGUUAUUCCCAAGUUAACAAGGACCGAGAAGUUACUGUGGCCUAAGAAUUGUGCUCUGCAUGUUGGUAGAGACAAAAUAAGCAGCGUCUACUGGCAAAGACUGUAUCAUGUUGCCGGAGAAGUGAAGCAUUAAGUAGAAACUGUGUGUAGUGGCUGUGAGGGCAGCAUGGUUCUGCAAAGGGCUUGAUUGGCGGGAAGAGGAUUAGAUUCCCGCAUGUGUAGUUGGGAAUCUGAUCUGUAAAAGCCAGACACUGAGGUUUUGAUGUCUUUCUCCAGUUCACACAAAGAGCUAAUAGCUGGGCUGGGACUAUGUCUUAAGCAUCCUGGAUAGUUAACAUCUUACCAACCUCUGUCUUCCCCAAAAGCUGCAAUCUCCAUAUGCAGGAGCCAACAUCAGUUUGCUGCAAGGGAGGAGAAUGAGGACUAUUGUAUCAACUGGAGUCCCAUAGAAAACAAAUGACACACUCAAAAGGGGUGAUCAAGAGUUCCAUGGAGGGGCCGUUGACAAAGGUAGAGCCGGUUUAGAGAAAAGCAAUAAGGGAUGCGGAAGCCUCAGGAUCAGCAGCAGCAGGAAGCCACUGGCACCGAGUGCCAAGGGGUAGGGAGCGGUAGCUGAGGUGUGGUGAGCUGUAGGUACAGAAGCACUGCUAUUGCUGCAUCAGAGGUAUCAAUAUUCCAUCCUCACUCUCUCAAUGCCCUCUGAUCACACGCCUGGUGCCCUGGAAGACAGAGGUCACUGGAGCUGUGUGGUUGCAGUCGUUAGAGGUCAGCUUCCUGGCUGCAGCACAGUGCAGAAAGGAAAUGGACAGAGAGUGGUUCUGGCAGGACAGAUGGAGACUAUCCAGUGCAAAAUCCAUGCUGGGGAAAUUUAAGAGUUUUCUUGGGAGUGCAUUAAAGGAGCUAUUGCAGGUGCCUUAGAAUCUCAGAGUCUUAAAGUCACUCCCUUCCAUAAUCCAAUAGCUUGUUCUUGUUCUCAGGAAAGCUCUAUAAACCCAGGGCCUUAUUCUUAUUGUAGUCAUCAUUUCCAGCAGAGCACAGAUUCAAGAGCCAGCUGUUUAACUCAUGACCUUGCUGAAGAGGUGGUAAUGGGGCUAUUCUUAGUGAUCACAUUGUUAUGGGUUAGCAACUUGAUGUUCAAGGUAGUGGGCACCUAGAUAUCUCUGAAUGAUGGUGUUUGUUGGUUUGAAAGAGGUCUCCCUCAUUAAUUCAUUAUCUUGCUGGAGAGGCAGUUGCAUUUUGGCUUCAGCCUUUAAAUGAUAGUGGCUCUAUUUCCGACUUGCUUGGAAACUAUUAUUAACUAUUAUUCCCAACAAUACACUUGCAUAUUUGACAAUCUAGAAACCAAAUUUAGCCAUGCAAAUUAUAGACAACUGCUCUCUUAUAAUGUCACUGUGAUGUCCCAGUUUUUAAGAAAUGGAAGAUUAACAAAGCCAGCUUCAAAUGCUUAAAACAAUAUUUUAUGUAAGAAGCCAUUUUCCCCCAGAGAUGCAUAGACCUGUAAAAUGUUUCCAGAGCUCUUUGGAAGAUAACCAAUAUUUCUCUCAAAGGAAGGGGAAGUAGCAGAACAUCAAAUAUACGCAAAAACCCUUCAAAGCUGGAAGUGCCAUCAGCUUACUAAGGAAUUAUGUUAAAAAUAAGGGAAACUUAAGAGGUCACUUAAAUGAUUUAAACACCAUAUUUUCCCUCUUCUCCAAAAAUCCCCCAAGACAAUGCUCAUAAUGUUAGACUGACCUUUUAGCAUAUGUGAUUUUAGUGAAAGACAUUUCUCUUCUUCUAAAUAUAUCUCAAACCAUUCUUAAAAGUAAUGAUUUCUCAUUAAGGCUCUUGCACCUGCUUGUGAAGAAAAGACAUCUGACCUUUAAAAAAUAUUCCAUGGGUCUGAAUCAUCUAAGUAUAUUGUAGCUUUAUUCUUGCAGACAAGGGAAACCAAGAAUGAUCUGGAUAAUGGAGAAACCUGUUAAUACAACUGGAUUUGAAUCACACUACUGGCUGAAAUUCACACAACCGGAUUGGGAUCCCACUGUGUAAUUUUAGGAUGCUCAAGCAUCAUGGCAUCAUUUCCAGUGGAGUCGCUGAACUUGUAGGUUGUCUACCUGACACCUCGAGGUCCUUACACCAAGAAGUCAGCUGUGAAGCCCGCUGAGUCCUCGGGUGGAUGUCUGCCACCACAUACAUAGCCUUUGCUGGUGGCUUGGAGAGCUGGCAGGUCAGCCACAGAAAGUGGGCAAGACCUAGUCAGUAGCGACAGGAUAUGUUCCCAGGAUGGACAGCUGCCUGAUAUGCGUUCAGUUCCAGUGCCAAAGCCAAGGGCUGCCAGUGCCCUUCCUUCAUGCUAAGGACUUCUCUCUCUCCAGGACAGCGGAUGCCUGUUUGGAAGGCUGGAUUGGACUGAGCCACAUGGCAGAGCCUUGGAGAUGGCAGGGGAGGGAAGUCGAAGACAUGGAGUGGUUUGACAUUUGUGCAUAGUAUGAAGAAAGAUCAUCAAGGCUGAAAUGUGUCUGCUAAGAGGCUUCAGCUCAUGUUUGCUAAUCUCCUGUAUGGUGAAACACUGGCACCCAGACAAACCCUCAUUCACAUCAGAACAAAGCGCUAGUUAUGUGUGUUGAAAUUCCUUAAAGAAAAUGUCUUGCAGGCUGCUGGGGAGUGCGUGAAUGCUGGAAAUGCUUCACCAAGAGUUACUCAAUGUCCUGGGAAGACGGUCUGCUGGCAUCUGAGGGCUCACCCUAGAGAAGAGUGGUUGUACUCCAGGGCACAUGGGUCUGGUGAGGACAGAGAAGCAUGGGUGGAUGGGUGGGUGGAGAUGAGGGUGGAUGUUUUCUCUGUAAUCGUCUCCGGCCAGGCUGGAGCCCGAACCAGACUACCCACUUUAUUAGUCCAUUGAGAAUAUCUAAAGUCAGGCUUCUCAGCACAGCUGCCAUUUCCCCUGCUUGGGACCAGAUUUUCCUGUUUUCUGAGGGCUUCCAAGUAAGUUGGAAGUUCCUUGGGUUUCCACAACUUUGACUUAAUGAAGAAACAAGGUCAAGAAUCAGAGGAAAGGUUUUUGGAUGGGCCUCAGAGGUCUGAAAUGGUUAGGUGGGAGUCUAAAGGUAUAGGAGAGAAACUAAAUCAGUUGUAGCCCCAGCUGUUUGGAGAUGAUGCCAGCAGAUGGGAUUGAGUAAGCGACCACAGGUUGCAGAGGGUGGCAGAUGGGAGGCGGAUGUGGAAAUGGGGUCCCAGUCAGAAAUGAACACCACUAGAGGAGCAGGAAGAAGGGCCAAGCAAGAGCAGUGGUUCUCAUUGUGGUUUCUGGACUAGCGGCGGCAGCAGCACCCACGAUGUAGAUGUCAACUCUUAACUCCACUCGGAAACCCACUGAAUCAGAAACUCAGGUGGUGAAGCCCAACCAGCGGUACUUGAAUAAGUCCUCCAGUGAGUCUGAUGGACACUAAAGUUUAAGAACCACUGAGUCAGGGAACCCCAAGGGAGGCAAUUGCUAAGGAACUGCAAGAGAGGAAUUAGGGGCUGGGCCAGGGGCCAGGCGCGGUGGCUCACACCUGUAAUCCCAGCACUUUGAGAGGCUGAGGCAGGAGAAUGGCUUGAGCCCAGGAGUUCAAGACUAGCCUGGGCAACAUAGUGAAACCCUGACUCUACAAAGAACACAAAAUUGGCCAGGCAUGGUGGUAGCCACCUGCAGUCCUAACUACUCGGGAGGAUCACUUGAGCCUGGGAGAUGGAGGUUGCAGUGAGCUGAGAUCACACCUCUGGGCUACAGCCUGGGUGAUAGAGCAAGACCCCAUCUCAAAAAAAAAAAAAAAAAAGACGGCAGGAUUAGGGAAACUUCUAGAAUGAGGAGGAGAUGGCCCUGAAAGCACAGGGGGACAAGGAGAGUGAACUGAAAAGUAGAAAGAAGUUCUUCUCCAUAAGAAAAAAAGGUGAUGAGAGCUACAAUAAAAAACUACUAGUCACAACGGCUGCAGCUCAAGGUAGCCUGGAUUCUUGAUAAGCACACACCCGCCACUGGUGUCACGCUGAAGCUGGAAGGACCGCCUCUGCUAACAACAGUGAAGAACAAAUGUGGAUGCAAAUGGCUCUUAGAAGUCAGACAAAGGGAAGUUGCAUUGCUGAGAUUCACCUGCAGGUCCCAGCAUGGCUCAUUUGUUCUCUGGAGUAGUGGGUUGAAUGGUAGCCCCCCGCCCCCAUAGAUAUCCUAACCCCUAGAAUCUGUGAACGUGAUCUUAUUGUGGCAGCAGGCCUGUAAUCCAAGCUACUCUGGAAGCUGAAGGGGGAGGAUUUCUUGAGGCCAGAGGUUCGAGACCGGCCUAGGCAACAUAGCAAGAGACCCCUUCCAUCUCCAAAAAAUGAAGGAUAUCCAGAUGAGAUCAUCCUGGAUUAUCUGAGUGGGUCUUAAAUCCAAUGACAUCCAAAUUUAUAAGAGAUGAAAGAGGAGGAAAAGAGAGAUAUGCAGAGGAGAAGGUGAUGGGAAGAUGGAGGCAGGAAUUGGAGUGACACAUCCAUAAACAUGUAGACAUAAAGGGAAUGCCUGUAGUCACCAGCAGUGGGAAGAGGUAAGGCGGGAUUGUCCCGCAGAGCCUUCAGAGGAGGCAUGGCCCUGCUAACACCUUGAUUUUUGGACUUCUGACCUCCAGAAAUGAAAGAAAAUAAAUUACUAUUGCUUUAAGCCACCAAAUUUGUGGUGAUUUAUUAUAGCAGCUCUAGGAAAUUAAUAUACCUGGCUUAAGGGAAGAGGCAUGGGAUUUGAAGACAGACAGACUGGUGUCUUGAACUUUUUGAAUGUUACUCCCUAGGGUGGGAUGUGAACUCUGAGUCACAGCAGUCCCCACGUGGCUUGAGUCCCUCAUUACUUUAGCUAUCUGCCUCCUAUGAGCAUCUUAGCUUUGUAUCCUCUGGGUAACUUCACCUCUCCAGUCUUCUCCACCUUUGACAUCUUAUUAUUCCAGCAAGGGGGGUGGGGAAGGUGGAUUACCUCAAAUCUUUGGAGCAAUGUUUGGGGAUGAUGUAGUCUACCAUCCUUUGAAUAGCUUGGCUGAUUUACCAUUGAGGAAGAAAGAAAUUUCUUCUUGAGAUGUAGUGUGAUGCCUUUUUCAGAACCAGCCACUCUAGUGAUUUUUAAUAAAAAAAAUUAUUGUCUCAUGGCUGGGUUUCUGUCAUUCCUUCCAGAAGGUGGGAGGCUGUGAGUUUGGAAAAUUAGUGUCUGGUGACUGUGGGUGAGAAGGCCCUUUCCUACAUAACAGAAGAAAUAAACAC
rnacentral:lncRNA from 1 species